rnacentral:rRNA from 1 species
AUUGAAUCUAUCGNGCCCACACCGUGAACCAUUUAUGCCCUUUCUGAAAGGCAGCUCUUGAAAGGGAGUUUGCCGAUUGAAAGCGCAGGUCAGGGGCCGCAGCUCUUUGGCUGUCGGUUGACUUGACUGGGCGGGUCCAAUACCGUUGGGUUCCUCUUGCCUUGGCUUGAGGUUCCUGGCUGUGAGGGGUGGCUUGAAAAACUCUUAAGCAAUUUUUUCUGAAGGCAGACUGCUAGCUGGCUUGCUGGCUGCAGACUGAAUUAAUAACGACAACUCUCAACAACGGAUAUCUUGGCUCCCGUAACGAUGAAGAACGCAGCGAAAAUGCGAUACGUAGUGUGAAUUGCAGAAUUCCGUGAACCAUCGAAUCUUUGAACGCAAAUUGCGCUUGAGGCUUCGGCUAARAGCAUGUCUGGCUCAGCGUCGGCUUACUACCCUCAACCAAUUCCCUUAUGGAAAUUGAUUGGAGCUGGCUUUCCGGNUUUUCCUAUUAGGUUGCCGGUCAGCUGAAAAAAUAUUCGCGCUGUGGGAGCUGCUUUUCCCUUCAAAAAGGAAAGCCGAGUUCCGAUUUGGUAGGUGACC